rnacentral:lncRNA from 1 species
GUGGAUUUACUAGGAAGGUGGGACGUUGGAGGGGUGGCCGCAUGGAGUGAGUACUGUCUCUGGCCACCGAGCAGAGCCAGUGACAGCAGCGUCCUGGUAGGCAGGCAGGCGUAUCAGGUUUCAGAGGAUGCGGCUGGGAACGGGAGUAGAGGUGAGGGGUCGUUGCAUCUGUCGCGGUGUGUAUCUUUUGGGGGUUCAGCGCCACCAGCGACUUGGGCCUCAUUCAUCGCGCUUACAUUUCUCCACCUCAUUUGAAGAACGAGCUUCGUAGCCCACGGAGCUGAGGUAUAUGAGCUCCCUGAAAGCACAAAGCAGUUAUUUCCAUCUUCAGAUCAUUCAGAGAUUAUGAAGGCACAAACCCUGCCUUCAAUUUGCUUAUAGUCAAGUGGAGCAGACACAAGUCAAUGAUUGCAGUAUAGCCACUGAAGUAAUCUAAAAGAGACUUAUCAGCAGGUUGCAGGUGAACAUGGCCUUGAGGUAAAUCUGUCCCUUGCUGAAUACAGUUUCAGUAGAUUGUUUAUAGUAGUUUCAGGAAUUGAGAUUUUUUACAAAAAUACAAAAGUUUUGCUUGGUUCUGUUCUAGAUGUUUUCUUCUAAAUAAAUGAGAAAGAUGUUUCAACAAAGGCUCUUUAUGCUGAAUAAUUGUGAUGCUUGAAGUUGCUAAUCUGCUUUAAGUGGAUUUUAAAUGUCAGGCAAUUCUAGACAGUUUUUUCUUGGUCAAAUAAAAAUUUAAUUAAAACUUUAAAAAAAAAAA